GCCGAAAUAGCUCAGUUGGAAGAGCAUUAGACUGAAGAUCUGAAUGUCCCCGGUUCAAUCCCGGGUUUCGGCA
rnacentral:tRNA from 1 species